GCCAUCUUUAUUUUCGUGUUGUGUAUAGUGUCUCGUCGUCGUCGAGUCGAUUCGUCGUCGUGAUAUCAACAUCUUCGUUAUGCCGAAUUUGCUAGUGACUGUGAGUACAUUUGACACGGGAUUUUUCUACUUCAGAACGUAGUCGUCUUCUGAAUGCCGCAAUAACCGGUCUGGUGACGGAAGGUUGGCUGCCGUGGGACUUUGAAAGUAAAAAAAAAAGAACAAUUU